CAAACAUAUUAACUGGGAUGAAAAGAAAGUUGUAACGCUUACGUGGUACUUUUAUUUUAUUCCGUGUUUUAUAAAGAAAUAUAUGUAGGUAACAUUGUCGUUGAAUCGUUCAAAGCUAUAUCCAUUAAACAUUCGAAAAUCGCAGGCUUUAAUUUUAGCUAUAUUACAAGCCUUUUAAUUACUUGUAGGGGAGGUGGAUAAUACCUUUGGCUUAGAGACGUUUUAAGUCAAGCUAACAUUCUUCUGCAUUUGUUCCAGCUCGGCUUUAUAUUGAUAAUGGCAAAAUCGGGAUCGCCAAAAUAAGCAAUUUUUAAAAAAAUGACGAACUGCUCAAAUUGCAACAUUACAACUGUAG